rnacentral:sRNA from 1 species
CAUCCGUAUAGUAUGUGUAAGAAAGGGAGG